AUGCAUCUACCUCCUACGCCGCCGCAUCAGCUAAUUUCCCUCAGCAUACUCUCUUCAUGGAGCAUUGUGCCUUCAUGCUCCGGCAGUCUCAUGCACCACACUCCUCGUGCACUCUUGAGGAUGCAUGGUGUGCUAGUUACUUCCUUGACUAGGAUGGAACGGGGAUUCAAAGAGAUUGAUUCUCACGAGUAUGAUUCGCAAAUAAGGGUGAUAGAAAGCAGGCAGGUGAUCACACUGUCGUUCUCAAGGAGCAACAUAGACGCUGAGCCCCAAGACACAAAGAUGCUAAAUGGCAAGGCAUAA
rnacentral:rRNA from 1 species